CACGUAGGGUGCGAGCGUUGUCCGGAAUUAUUGGGCGUAAAGAGCUCGUAGGCGGUGUGUCGCGUCGGCCGUGAAAACCUGCAGCUUAACUGUGGGCUUGCGGUCGAUACGGGCAUCACUGGAGUUCGGCAGGGGAGACUGGAAUUCCUGGUGUAGCGGUGAAAUGCGCAGAUAUCAGGAAGAACACCAAUGGCGAAAGCAGCUCUCUGGGACGGUAC
rnacentral:rRNA from 1 species